CAGUAAGGCUUGAUUCAAGGCUUGAAUUAGAAGCAGCCUUCACUUGCCAAUCAAGGCUGAAGUUGAAUCCAGCUGGAAACGAUCUUGCUUGACAUUCAACUCGGAAUCCCCUUGAAUUUCCAUACUAGAAUCGAAAGCAGCAUACCCUUGUUUUUCAAGGCUAACAAACUUGGUUGGAAUCGAUCUUGAAUAUGGCUCGAUAGGUAUUUGUUCGAAUUUUGCUUUUAUUGCAUGGGUCAAACAAGUCUUGACUUUGCCUUGAAUACCCCUUGUCAGUUAAAGCCGACAGACUUGAUAGGAAUUGAUCAUGAAUAUGGCUCGAUAGGUAUUCGUUCGAAUUUAGCUUUUAUUGCAUGGGUCAAACAAGUCUUGACUUUGCCUUGAAAACCCCUUGUCAGUUAAAGCCGAUUUGAAUUGAUCUUGAAUAUGGCUUGCUAUGCAUUCCCUUGAAUUUUGCUUCUAUUGCGAGUGUCAAACAAUCCUCGAGUAGCCUAUUUUACAUUGUCUUUUUGGAUAUUCCCUUCCAAAAUCUCCUCCAAUACAGGGGAGAGGAGACCAACCUGUAGUGUUCAUGUGUUGGAAUUUUGAACUAAAGUUUAGUGCAGCGCCUUUUUUGAAUGCUGAAUUGGUCUGAUUCAGUAUGUUUUCAUUGUAUUCAGUUAUAAAAGUUAUUCAGCUGCUGGAAAUGCCCUAAUAUUAUAUUGAAGAUAGUGACUCUUAUGUUUCAUUAAUUGAGUCCCCUUUUACAGAAGAAAAAAUACAAGAGAAUAAUUUAUUUGACACAUCUUCAUAUGAAAUCAAGAUUUUCUUUAAGGGUAGACUUUGAAUGAAAUCAAUGUUAUUGUUCAAUCGAUUGUUAUGUAUACAAUUUUUUAUGAUGAUAGUACAUAGAAAACCUGUUUAUUCACGGUAUAAGGCUUUCUAGACAAUAAUUGUCUCUUACUUAUUACUAAGUAGUUGAGCUAUAUUUUAUUACUGAUCAGAGCUAUUUAUUGAAGGGUUGACCGCUUAUUCAAGAGUCUUAAUCAAACAACAUGUAGGCUUAUAGGCCUACGGAUUUGGUGGAUUAAAAUUUGAACUGGUGAUUGGCAUAGAACUGGAACUCUUAUUGAAGUUCAUGAUCGAAAUCAACCCUGAAUGGAAUCACUAAUUACAUUGAUUAUUAAUUGAUUGAAGCUUCUGAAAUUGUAUAAUAAUCAUAAUUGAAGGUUAGAGGAUCAGUCAAUAAAUCUUGAUAAUCGGAAGGAGAAAAGGGAGAUAAACUUAAAAAAAACUAAGUAAACUUUUAAAACUGAGACAUUGGAUAAGGAGUGAAUUCAGUGACUGAGAUAAUAAGAGUGUGAAUAACAUUUGAAUAAAGAAUAGACUAGACAUGGAUGAUGAGUCAUUAGACAAUUGGCGUAAAAGUGAGUCAUGAGAGAAAAAUAUAGGUACAGACUUAUCAUGUUUCAGAUUAUAUAUUAUAUUAUUUUAUGCUAUGUUACUAGAUUCCAAAGAAACCUCCAUUCAGUCCAUAUGAAAUAUGUUUUUGUUCAACUCUCCUUUCAUUUUUUAUGUUCAUUCCACCUUUUUGAGGGGCACGUCUUGUCCCUCAAAAAUUGAAAAGAUCGCACCACAUCAGAGAAUAUGACGAAGAAAUGAAGAAGUCACUUGCUGAACUCUUUCCCAAUUGAUAAUUAAUAAUUCCAUUCAAUCCUACCAAGCAAUAGACCUAGUUGCUAUCUGAAUUAAGAUUCUACACCGUAGACUAGCUAAUUAGAAAUGAAAAUUCGCCAAUGAAUAUUUAUUUAUUUAUUUAUACGUGGAUACAAUAACAAAUCAUAUAAAUAUGAUUGGGAAGGAACAACAGGCUUGGCCCUAAUCUAAAAAAUCUAAUUGCUGCUUGGGGGUUGUGAUAAAAUGUUAAAUAAUUCCCUGAUUUGUGGCAUUGAUAUUCCCCCACUUCACGAAAUACAAAAUUCAAUUGAAAACUGUUGUAAUAGUUCAGUACAAGAGUAUACUGAACUACAGAUGAAUUCCUUAAAAGGUAUUUAUACAAUAAAGUGCAUAUUCGAUGGAAAAUUAUACACAUUAUAGAAUGAAACUCAAAUCAUGCAUUAUAUAAUAAUGUAAUAUAAUCGUGAAUUGCAUAAUAUGAAAUGUAUAUUAUGGGUAUAGAGAAAUUCGUCAGAAAUCUGAUUCUAAGCUGAGAAAUGCAAGCAUGUUAAUGAUCACUAUUUUUCAACAAGAUUAAAAUAAAAAAUUGGAAAUAGAUUUUCUGUCUGGGUAGCAAACCUUAUCUGUUUCAAAUUACACAAAAAGCAACCAUUUGUGAGAAUCCCUCUCACAAGCCCCAAGCAGCAAUUAGAUUUUUCUUAAAUGAAGGGCGAACCCUUCAUUUAAGAAAAAUCUAAUUGCUGCUUGGGGGUUGUGAUAAAAUGUUAAAUAAGCUUUUUGAGAACUUUUUAAUAAAAUGUUACAAUUUGACAUACGCUCUACUAAGGUCUAGGAUGUUUUGGUGAAAAUGUUUUCAAAUCCUCCCAAAAUUACGCUAGAAAUUAACGUAACUUUAAUUCAAUUAAAAUAUUAACUGCUUCUUAUAUUUGAUAGAGCUUCUCAAUCAGCGAUCUAUAUAGCAGUCCAUGGAGCAUGUUUCCAGUUUUCUGCUGAAGGAUAGAACAUGCAACAAAAAAUGUUUUGUUUCAUGGUCAGGAAUUUGCACUACCCUAUUCAAUUUUCAAACAAAAGGGAAGACAGCUUUUUGUCAGUGACAUUUUGGGCUGAAAACAGGAAUCCAACACUCGCCCUCUAGCAGUCUCCUUCACUCACUCACUCUCUCUCCCUCUAACACACACUUUCUCACACCCACUCUCUCACUCACUCACACUUUCUCUCUCUCUCACUCACACACACAUACAGUCCCACACAUACACAAACGCACAUGCACCUACUUUCUACUUUCUAUUUUCCAGUCACCACUAUAUUUCUCCACUAUACGUGCUAUAGUGUGUCCAACGGCCAACUCCAAGGUACGAAGUGGAGAGGGUAUGAUGGUUUGGUUUUGAAUUUCUGAGACAAGACAAGAGUUCUUCCAUUCGAGAAUUUCUGUUUGUUAGUUCACUUUUCACUACGGUUUAAACUUUAAAGCUUUAAAGUGGAUGACAUAUCGCACAGUGCGCUCCAGUAAUCCAGUGAGAUAGUUAGUUGUAGUGUAUAGGUUUGUUUUAAUUAUUGAGUUUCUAUCUGUUGUUUUUCCUGUUUCCUGUGUUCUUCAUUUUUGUCUUCGUUCCUCUUCGUUACUGUGUCUGCUCCUGAGUCUACAGUGUCAGUGCAGCGAAGAAGCGAGUCCAAACAGCAGUGAAAUAACAAGAGCUUGCAUAGAUGAGGAAAUAUCAUCAGAUAAUCUUUACUUCCAUUGAGAGAGAUGGUCAAUUUCCAGUCAGAAUGGGAGGAGAAAAUCGUUUAUAAAGCAUAUGAGGACAGUGGGGAGCGCUAAUAUUGGCCAAUGUGUCAAUAAUAUCUUGAGAAGAUUAAUGAUUGAUGAGCUGGCCAUGAAAUUCUCAUAUACUGGCCGUGCAUCAAACGGGAACACAAAAACUCCAUUUCAUGGGAGUGAGAUAUCGAAAUGCAUACUGAGUAAGUAGGCUACCGUAUUCCUUUAUAGUCGAAUAUAUGACAUUUUUGGUUAUGUAAAUAUGGAUGUUACUUAUUUUUAUUGUAUGUUAAUUUAUAUGUUAGCAAGGUUAGCGUUUUAGGCCAUAUUUACACUGCACUGUAGUAGAUGUAUUUUCAAACCAUAUUUGUGCCGUAUUUGUUUUUCAAACCAUACCUGUAGGUACCUAUGUACGAAUAAAAACAAACAGAAAUUCAAGUACCCAUUUUAAAAUUAGCAUAUUUUUCUUAUAAAUAAAAAUAUUAGA